UGAACAGCCAGGAUCUCUGUAAUCAAGUGCUCCUCUUCCCACCAAUCACUGAGGAGCUCGUGAAACCCGCCUGCCAUCAUCAGCGGCAAUGCCAGGGUUUGGGAGAGCUUCUGGCUGACCUGCUGUUCAGCUGGCCUCCACCCUUCCCCCAACCACCAGGACAUUUAAGCAAAACAACCUGCUUUUGCCCGAAUGACCCAGGUUGAUGAGGCCUGGAGACAUCUGAGAUGUAGAUCACAAGAGCUUCUGAAAAUUCAACUAUUAAAUCAACACAAUGUAUCAGAAUAGAGAUAUAAAAAAUGGAUUCCCGGACCAAUAGAACUGAGACGUAACUUCACAUAUCUAAGGAAAGAGGUUAAUUAAAAAAAGAGAUUGAUCAUCUGUGGAAGCCUGGAGGGGGGACCAAUAACCUUCAAUUACUGAGCACUUACCAAAUGUGAGGAAUUGUGCUAAAUAUUUUAUAUAAUUAUCUAAUUAAUCCUUACAACAGUCUCCAAAAGUAGGUAAAGAUAUCCAUUUUUUUUUUUUCAAACCCAAAUCUCUUACUCUUAAUUACUGUGCAAGGAAGAGGAAGUAUUAGUCAACAUAUUUCAAGUAUUAUGGCCCCAUGAUCAAAAUUACCUGUAUGAAGAUGGACAUGUUAGCGCAUCUGGGCCUGGAUACACUAAAUAUUGAAUCAUCUGACUAUGGCCCCUCGUUCUGAUUCUGUG
rnacentral:lncRNA from 1 species